rnacentral:antisense_RNA from 1 species
GCGACCGGGGGCUGCCUGGGCAAGGGCGGGGCGAGAGCGCAGAACGCCUGCUCUCGGACAGGGUGUUCUUAAAAUAAACCGGAAAGAACGGAGGUAAAAAUACUGGAGUGUUUCCUCCACACUGGAAAGGAGAGGGCAGCGCUGUGAACAAUGGAACCAUCAAAAAGGCCUUCUCCCAGCCGCCUCACCAACCACGGACAUUCCUGGCCCAACAAGCCCUCCUGGCCUGGUUUUGAGCCCUGCUUCCCAGAUCUGGGGACCCUUCACCUGCCUCUACUACUGCAAAUGAUUGGAUAUUCGUCUGCCUUGGCUCUUCCCUAAUGUGUGGAACUAAUUUUGUUCACUCUGUUUCAUGCUGGACCUGGCCUGAAAAUGGGCCCUUACAUUGUCUUUGCACUUUCCAACUUGCCAAGUUUCUGAAAGAAGGACCAAAGUAAUGCCAAGAACUCCCAGAUGAAGAGGACCUUCCUUAGACCUAUAACAGAUUCACUACUUGACUUCAGAGGGACGUUUCAGCUAAUUCUCAGGAAAAGGUCAAAACAGGCCUGUGACUGUCCCUCGAAUACUGAAGGUAUAAACAAGCUUCUGGCUCCUCCAGGUCAAGCAGAGGAACACUUUUAUUAGAA